UACGUAGGGGGCUAGCGUUGUUCGGAUUAACUGGGCGUAAAGCGCGCGUAGGCGGGUUUUUAAGUCAGGGGUGAAAUCCCAAGGCUCAACCUUGGAACUGCCUUUGAUACUGGAAAUCUUGAGUCCGGGAGAGGUGAGUGGAACUGCGAGUGUAGAGGUGAAAUUCGUAGAUAUUCGCAAGAACACCAGUGGCGAAGGCGGCUCACUGGCCCGGUACUGACGCUGAGGUGCGAAAGCGUGGGGAGCAAACAGG
rnacentral:rRNA from 1 species